rnacentral:rRNA from 1 species
GAGGAAGUAAAAGUCGUAACAAGGUUUCCGUAGGUGAACCUGCGGAAGGAUCAUUAAUGAAUUAUUUGACGGGGUUGUCGCUGGCCUUUCUCGGGCAUGUGCACGCCUUGAUCAUAUCAAUACAUUCCUUCACCUCUGUGCACUUUUCAUAGGUUGGCUCCAUUUUGAAAGGGUUGUCUUCGGAUAAUCUGGGCCUUUCUAUGCAUAUUUAUACAAACAUCUUUGUCUUAGAAUGUUUAUCUUGCGAAUAUAACGCAUCGUAAUACAACUUUCAGCAACGGAUCUCUUGGCUCUCGCAUCGAUGAAGAACGCAGCGAAAUGCGAUAAGUAAUGUGAAUUGCAGAAUUCAGUGAAUCAUCGAAUCUUUGAACGCACCUUGCGCUCCUUGGUAUUCCGAGGAGCAUGCCUGUUUGAGUGUCAUGUUCUUCUCAGUCUUCUCAAAUUUAUUUUUGUGAAAGAACUGGAAUUGGAGGUUGCUGGAAUGAAAUAAAGUCAGCUCCUCUCAAAUACAUUAGUGUGGAUACAGCCAUCUAUUCUACGGUGUGAUAAUUGUCUACGCUGUCUGAAUGUUGGUUUCACGCUUCGAACUGUCCUGUCGAAGGACAUUAUUAUUUUACAUUUGACCUCAAAUCAGGUAGGACUACCCGCUGAACUUAAGCAUAUC